GAUGAACGCUGGCGGCGUGCCUAAUACAUGCAAGUCGAGCGAACAGACGAGGAGCUUGCUCCUCUGACGUUAGCGGCGGACGGGUGAGUAACACGUGGAUAACCUACCUAUAAGACUGGGAUAACUUCGGGAAACCGGAGCUAAUACCGGAUAAUAUAUUGAACCGCAUGGUUCAAUAGUGAAAGACGGUUUUGCUGUCACUUAUAGAUGGAUCCGCGCCGCAUUAGCUAGUUGGUAAGGUAACGGCUUACCAAGGCAACGAUGCGUAGCCGGCCUGAGAGGGUGAUCGGCCACACUGGAACUGAGACACGGUCCAGACUCCUACGGGAGGCAGCAGUAGGGAAUCUUCCGCAAUGGGCGAAAGCCUGACGGAGCCACGCCGCGUGAGUGAUGAAGGUCUUCGGAUCGUAAAACUCUGUUAUUAGGGAAGAACAAAUGUGUAAGAAACUAUGCACGUCUUGACGGUACCUAAUCAGAAAGCCACGGCUAACUACGUG
rnacentral:rRNA from 1 species